rnacentral:rRNA from 1 species
CCGGGCGGCACGGGUGAGUAACGCGUAUGCAACUUGCCUAUCAGAGGGGGAUAACCCGGCGAAAGUCGGACUAAUACCGCAUGAAGCAGGGGCCCCGCAUGGGGAUAUUUGCUAAAGAUUCAUCGCUGAUAGAUAGGCGUGCGUUCCAUUAGGCAGUUGGCGGGGUAACGGCCCACCAAACCGACGAUGGAUAGGGGUUCUGAGAGGAAGGUCCCCCACAUUGGUACUGAGACACGGACCAA